UACGUAGGUGGCAAGCGUUGUCCGGAAUCACUGGGCGUAAAGCGCGCGCAGGCGGCGAUCUACGUCUGGGGUGAAAGCCCGGAGCUCAACUCCGGGACUGCCUUGGAUACGGGAUCGCUUGAGGAUUGGAGAGGCAAGGGGAAUUCCACGUGUAGCGGUGAAAUGCGUAGAUAUGUGGAGGAACACCUGUGGCGAAGGCGCCUUGCUGGCCAAUUGCUGACGCUCAGGCACGAAAGCGUGGGGAGCAAAAGGG
rnacentral:rRNA from 1 species